ensembl:lncRNA
GUCCCUAUGGGGUCCCUAUGGGGUCCCUAUGGGGUCUCCAUGCGUCCCUAUGGGGUCCCUAUGGGGUCCCUAUGGGGUCCCUCCGCCCCACAGCGCUUCCCCCGGAGCUGCUGCCGCUGUUGGCCGCCAUGUUGGACCCGGACCCACAGCGGCGCCCCACAGCGGAGGCUCUGCUGCAGUCGGCCCCUAUGCGGCGUGUGGGGCGAUGGCGGCCGCUCCUCCGCCUCCUGGAUGUGGGGCUGCGCCGGGGGGCGGAGCUGCUGCAGGUCAGUGCCCCAUAGCUGCCCCAUAGCUGCCCCAUAGCUGCCCCAUAGCUGCCCCAUGGCUGCCCUAUAGAGACCCCAUAGCUGCCCCAUAGCUGCCCUAUAGAGACCCUAUAGCUGCCCCAUAGCUGCCCCAUAGAGCCCCAUAGCUGCCCCAUAGCUGCCCUAUAGAGACCCCAUAGCUGCCCCAUAGCUGCCCCAUGGCUGCCCCAUAGCUGCCCCAUAGCUGCCACAUAG